GAAACAGUGUCUGAUACACAGGAGUACGUAACAGUAAAGGUAGUACACAGGACCAUAGAAACAGUGUCUGAUACACAGUAGUAUGUUACAGUAAAGGUAGUACAUGGGACCAUAGAUACAGUGUCUGAUACACAGUAGUAUGUUACAGUAAAGGUAGUACACGGGACCAUAGAUACAGUGUCUGAUACACAGUAGUACAUUACAGUAAAGGUAGUACACAGGACCAUAGAAACAGUGUCGGAUACACAGUAGUACAUGACAGUAAAGGUAGUACACCGAACCAUAGAAACAGUGUCUGAUACACAGUAGUAUAUGACAGUAAAGGUAGUACACGGGACCAUAGAAACAGGGUCUGAUACACAGUAGUACAUGACAGUAAAGGUAGUACACCGAACCAUAGAAACAGUGUCUGAUACACAGUAGUACGUUACAGUAAAGGUAGUACACAGGACCAUAGAAACAGUGUCGGAUACACAGUAGUACAUGACAGUAAAGGUAGUACACCGAACCAUAGAAACAGUGUCUGAUACACAGUAGUAUAUGACAGUAAAGGUAGUACACGGGACCAUAGAUACAGGGUCUGAUACACAGUAGUACGUUACAGU